GUGACCUGCGGAGGAUCAUUAUCGAGGGGGCUUGCCCCCGUCAAGAUACCACCCUUUGCCUUUGAGUACCUUCUGUUUCCUCGGCAGGCUCGCCUGCCAAUGGGGACCACAACCAAACCUUUUUGUAUCUGUAGUAAACGUUUUACAAAAUAAAAAAUCAAAACUUUCAACAACGGAUCUCUUGGUUCUGGCAUCGAUGAAGAACGCAGCGAAAUGCGAUAAGUAGUGUGAAUUGCAGAAUUCAGUGAAUCAUCGAAUCUUUGAACGCACAUUGCGCCCUUUGGUAUUCNUUAGGGCAUGCCUGUUCGAGCGUCAUCUAACCCUUCAAGCACUGCUUGGUGUUGGGCGUUUGUCCCGCCUUGGGCGCGGACUCGCCUCAAAGACAUUGGCGGCCUGUGUAUUGGCUUCGAGCGCAGCAGACUCGCGCGUCGACUCCUCUAGCACUAGGCGUCCAGCAAGCCUAUUAUCUCAAGUUUGACCUCGGAUCAGGUAGGGAUACCCGCUGAACUUAAGCAUAUCAAUAAGCGGAGGAAAAGAAACCAACAGGGAUUGCCCUAGUAACGGCGAGUGAAGCGGCAAGAGCUCAAAUUUGAAAUCUGGCUCCUUUGGAGUCCGAGUUGUAAUUUGUAGAGGGUGCUUUGGUGUCGGCUAUGGCCUAAGUUCCUUGGAACAGGACGUCACAGAGGGUGAGAACCCCGUAUGUGGCUGCUAGCCUUCACCAUGUAAAGCCCCUUCGACGA
rnacentral:sRNA from 1 species